CGGACUUGACACAGGUGCUGCAUGGCUGUCGCCAGCUCGUGUCGUGAGAUGUUGGGUUAAGUCCCGUAACGAGCGCAAUCCUUGUCCUUAGUUACCAGCACGUUAUGGUGGGCACUCUAAGGAGACUGCCGGUGACAAACCGGAGGAAGGUGGGGAUGACGUCAAGUCAUCAUGGCCCUUACGGCCUGGGCUACACACGUGCUACAAUGGUCGGUACAAAGGGUUGCCAAGCCGCGAGGUGGAGCUAACCCCAUAAAACCGAUCGUAGUCCGGAUCGCAGUCUGCAACUCGACUGCGUGAAGUCGGAAUCGCUAGUAAUCGUGAAUCAGAAUGUCACGGUGAAUACGUUCCCGGGCCUU
rnacentral:rRNA from 1 species